rnacentral:piRNA from 1 species
UAGGAUGUGUUUUCAUAGGACUU